UUCCGGGCCUUUUUCAUAAUGGCGCCGACGACCACGUAGCAAAUCCCGCACCUGAUGGUCCCAUAGAUUAGGACAAACGAGGGGUGCGAAAGCACGGAGUCGCAGUCAACGGCAGGUCGUCCGGCAGAUGUGGUGCCCACAAGGAGGGCUAUAGAAGCGUAAAGUGGCGAUGUGGCCCUUAAGGCGGACGGAGAGGCCGUGAGGUCGUCGGGUCAAAGGCCGCGUGGGAGGGCCAACUCGGCCCUCUAAAGUGUGGUCUGAACCUGGUGUCGGAUGCGUGAGAAAUGCGGGUCAUUGAGGCUUGCUGCGAGCGACGGAUGCAUAAUGGCGCCGACGACCU
rnacentral:rRNA from 1 species